GGGUUGUGAGGUUAAGCGACUAAGCGUACACGGUGGAUGCCCUGGCAGUCAGAGGCGAUGAAGGGCGUGCUAAUCUGCGAUAAGCGCCGGUAAGGUGAUAUGAACCGUUAUAACCGGCGAUACCCGAAUGGGGAAACCCAGUGUGAUUCGUCACACUAUCAUUAACUGAAUCCAUAGGUUAAUGAGGCGAACCGGGGGAACUGAAACAUCUAAGUACCCCGAGGAAAAGAAAUCAACCGAGAUUCCCCCAGUAGCGGCGAGCGAACGGGGAGGAGCCCAGAGCCUGAAUCAGCAUGUGUGUUAGUGGAAGCGUCUGGAAAGGCGCGCGAUACAGGGUGACAGCCCCGUACACAAAAGCGUAUGUGCUGUGAGCUCGAUGAGUAGGGCGGGACACGUGGUAUCCUGUCUGAAUAUGGGGGGACCAUCCUCCAAGGCUAAAUA
rnacentral:rRNA from 1 species